GGGGUGUACAAUCUUAUCCGCCGGUGUGUAUGCAGGUUUUUUGGGUAACCUGUAGGUCAGGUGUUCAAACCCAAGUAUGAGGACCCUUCAGCCAAUCAGUCCUCUAAUUAGUAAUCUAAUUAGGGAGUUGCAGUGAAAACCUGCAUACGCAUCGGCCCUUUGCGGAUAAGAUUGGACACCCCUGGUCUAAGCAAUUGAUGACAAGAUGGUGCCACGGGUCAUCGCCUCAGCAUGUUGCUCCAAUGCAUUCUGUUUGUUUUUGUAAAUGUUCUUAGUUCUGAUCCAAACAGGGUCUUACACUAGAGAUAAUUUACUUAAUAUGCAGAAGACUUUUCCACAAGAAGCUCCUACAGAUGUGGGUAUAAUUCUUGAUUCUUUGGGGAUAGUGCAGUAGCCCUGGUGAAACGAAGGAAACCGGGAAAGCACAAUGGCAUUCAGGUGUGCUUUGGGAACAGAGGACUAAGCUCAUUGCUACCAGGAAUUAUCCUUGGGAACCUGCGAUUUUUUUUACAAUGAAGUAGACGAGUUAUGAAUACUGAUCAGCACGGAGAAGGACUUUUGUUUUCUGUUUAACGGAAACCUGAUUAUCACCAUCAACACCUGAUGAUGCAGUUGAUCUCAGCGCCUUCCAGUUACAUAGCAGCAACGACCCCACUCCUCACAGGGUGCUGACCCAAAUCUGUGUGGACCAGAACGUACCAAAGAGAACUACAUCUCUGCUGUUGAUCGCCUCCAGAUUGACAAUACACCAGACGUCGAAGGAGUGAAGUUCAGAACAAAUGGGGGACAGCAUAAGGAGUUCCAUUACUAAGGUGCUGCCGGACCUGUCUGCCUUAAUCCUUGAAAUUGUACUGGAGACACUACAAUCAUUAGGAGUGGAGACAUCUGAGGACUUGCAGUUCAUCAGUGAGACUGAUCUGAACUCUGUCCUGAGACCAGUUCAGGCAAGAAAACUGCUGGCUGCCUGGAAACAAACCACACCAAAUAUGGAAAUUUCAAGCCAGGACAGCAUAUCGUCUCCAUCUUCUUGCUCCUCAUUUUCUGCCUCCCCCUCACCCAGUCCAAUAUAUUCUCUAGACUGGGUAGAUAACUUUAGAAUUCCAAGUGAAGAUUUUCCAGAAGACUUGAUCCAGUCUCUUCAGAGAGAGAAAAGACCAAAGCCUCGAUUGCGGAGGGAGAUGAUCCGCAUCAUUGUGAAGGAGAUGAUGAAAGCCUGUGCCUCUCCAAGUAGAAGAGCCUCGACUGAAAUUGCAAAAAAACUGGUUGCGAUGUAUCCCAAGUCACUGCAGGAUGUCAUAGAGGGGGAUGUGGAAGGACAGGGGUACCACUCUUUGGUGAAACAGAUUCAGGCACGAAUUGAAAAUGUGAAGAGGUCUACUUCACCAGUGUUACAGAAGCGCAAACAGGGAGGAUCAGAUGACACCGAUGAAGUCACACCUGAAAAGCGAGCAUCUGUUCAAGACACAUAUGGCUGCAUAAAGUGGGACAUGAAGUUUUUGCCAGUCAGUGAGACACUGGAAACCCAGCAGGAGAAGAAGGAACGUAUGAAGAUUCUCAGUGAACAGACAAGCUUCAGUCAUGAAGAAGUAAAAACUCUAAUGAAAUGCACCUACUACUCUCAGCGCAAAGCAAUAAACAGCGGAGCAGACAUGCAAACCCUCAAAGAAGAGUAGCCUUAUUUGUUUCAGGCGAUUGGAAUGACAGUCCGUUUUGAAGAACUUACUGGGGUACCGCUGAAAGAGACUUUCCUCACCAGUCUGGGAAAGAAGGGAAAACGGCUUCUGGACUUUCUGAAAACCACUUGUGCAGACAAGAGCAAGCGUGUCUUGGAGGCUGUCAUAGAACUGCAGAGGGGACAGCUGAAGGGCUGCUCAGAAGACCUGAAAGAUAUGAUGCUCCUCCUCCUCUCCUAUUUCGAUGAAAAAGAGGAGACCCUCUUCCACUAUGUUGAUGAAACAUGUCUGGCAAAAGAAGUCCAAGUGGAAAGCCUGCCUGUGACACCAUGUAUCAUUGGUUGUGUUGAGUUGAAAAUCAGUACAAGUGCACCGAACCUAAGCUAAUGCAAGGAUACGCUAUAUUAAAUGUCUGCACUUUCACUAUUUUAAGACACAUUUGAAUGGUAAAGGGGGUUUUACAGUUAAUUCUUUUACACUUGUAUUUCAUUCCAAGGAUCCUCCUGCUUCGCAUCGAGACUGUUCAUGCUCAGCAUUGACCACAAAGUUGUAAAUGACCAAAUGACUGACUUCAUCUCUGCAAUCUGUCUGAUGCUUGGUAGCUACUACUGCCUGAACAUCCACUGUCCCCUGGAACUUGGCUCCACACUUGAAUUCCUUCAGAGGUGUUUCUUCAACAUUAACCCAGAGAAGGGAACAAAAGUUGAAAAAACUAAGAAGAAGACACUGCAUGUGAACCCAAGAGUACUCACCCUCAUCGCCGAUCUCUCUGAUCACGAGUGGCGAGAGACCGUUUAAAGACAUUUUGAACAGAUCGGUACAGUCAGCUUAACUGUACCUUGACUGGGAACUACUGUGUUGUUUAUGUUUUCAGUUAUCCCAGCUGAUAUUGAAUACUGUACUCCUACCUGAUUUCUGUUAUCACAGGCAUGCUUUUCAGAGGUUUUGACCAUAUAUCUUUAAACAAUCCCUCUAACUAGGGAUUGUUACUGAGAACUGUACUUUUGAUGUUUCAGAGAUGUUCUAUAUUCUAUACAACAGAGUUUAAACUAUUUGAAUUUUGUAUUGCCCUAAUUAGCAAACAAGUUAAGUGUUGCACUGAACUGUUAACAUUGAAAUUUAAACAGCACUGUCUGUUACAAACAUUACUUGACUUUAACUGUUAUUAUAGCAUUUUGUAGCUGUACGUUUCUGCAAAAGUGAUGUCACAAGUUUGGUCAAAUUCAUGUUUUCCUGAAAAUGGUUAAUAUACAUUUGUUAGUUGACUUUAAGUGUAGAGCUUAAGCAGUUUUGGCUUUCUUUUUUCAUAAUGCCAGGAGAAGCUUUAGAUGCUUGUUUUGCCUUUAUUUGUUUAAAGAAAUAUAUUUGACUAGCAGGAAGUGUGUGGAGGUCAAAAUAUGUUCAAGACAAUAAAAAUGUCAGUGAAGGACAUCUGAAAUUUUGUUGCAGUGGUUUUCUGAUGCAUGUGUUUUAAGGUUUAAGGGUGGUGGCACAGCUAAGACCCAAGAGUCUCUUUCAAGACACUGAAUUUGAGCAGAAACCAUAAAGAUACUCAAAGGACCUGUGACUCUCAGGAAAUGCAUCAAAUGAGAGUGACAGAUGAAACAGUUUCAAGACAAUGGCAGGAAAAGCAUGCUGAAGAUUGAAACAAACCUUGGCUGGAAAUAUUUGGCAUGUGUUUUACCGUAAAUCAAAUUGUUGAAAAACAUUCAGCUACACUGCAACACAGAAACUUAAUUUGCACUUAUUUUGUGACUUUAAUUUCUUGUCUCAUUAUUUUUGUCAGUUAUUAUUGUUUAUGGUGUAUGCCCUUUUUGUUUUCUUUCUGAAUGCAGAAGGUAUCUAGCCAGUCCACAAUGAAAGCUUCAUUGCCCCCAUGAGUCUUCUGGCAGAAAUGAUGGCGCCUGUAUUCUUUGGUUUUCUUAAACAUCACACCCUGCCUGUUUAUACGAGGCUCUUCAAUCAAGUCUGCACCCAAAGAUUCAAUAAGAGAGGGGAUCCUGCCAGUCCAAAGUGAACUCCUGAUGGACAUUGAAGUACUCCUGCAGAGCUUGUAUCUUCGACACCAUGCGCAUUAGAAACUCCACUGAGUCCUUUCCUUCACCAAGGCAGGACCCAGUGACUCAUUACUGUUUAUAGGUCAGGGGCAGGUAAUUUUUUGUUUCAUGUUUAUUCAUUCCUCCAUGGAUUACCAGCCAUAUAUAUGGACACAUGCUGUAUUCUCAAGAUCUAUGCUGUUUGGUAGGAAUAGAGAAAAUGAUAUGUUUAGUCUGUUUUCAAAUGGUAUGUCAAAUUUUCUCAUUGUUUAUCAGUAAUAUUCACUACCUUGGUUAUAUAUGAGCAUCUUUAGAUUUUUCUAUAUUUAGCGGUUGCAAAUGUAAAAUGUACAGUAAACUACUUAUGUUCCUCAUAUUGUACUGUAUUUUUAGCGGUAAAAUACCGGCAGCUGUGGUUGCCAGGAAUUUACCGUAAAAUGUAUCUGGUCAAAAUAAAAUGCUGUAAUUUGUU